rnacentral:lncRNA from 1 species
CACGGGUUGAGCUCUUUCCUGCUGCCUUGAGCCUGAGGCAGGCUAUUCUUCCUGUGCGGCUCCACAGCUUCAGGCCAGCCCCCUCCCCGCUCAAAUCCCUGAGGCAGAGCUCCUCUGAAGAAGACUUCCGAUAUUAGGUUGCCUGGGCCCAGCUUGAAUCAGGCACCCCCAGCCGAGUCGCCCUCCAGGGGAUGGAAUACGGGACUCCCAGCCCCGGAAAACGGAGUCCGCCUGAGCCACGGGACUCGGAUGGAAGGCAAGUGAAGCCUGAUACCUCAGUGCAGAUACGUGGCUGGCUUUGUUGCAGGAUUUUCCUUAGUUUAGCUAAAGACGGGAUCUUGUCCAUCCCAUGGCCAUGAAAAUUUAGGCUCACAGACGCUUUAAAGGGUUCCACACAGGAAGAGGCGGUUCCCAGGUUCCACACAGGAAGAGGCGGUUCCCAGGUUCCACACAGGAAGAGGCGGUUCCCAGGUUCCACACAGGAAGAGGCGGUUCCCAGGUUCCACACAGGAAGAGACGCCCAGGUUCCACACAGGAAGAGGCGGUUCCCAGGUUCCACACAGGAAGAGGCGGUUCCCAGGUUCCACACAGGAAGAGGCGGUUCCCAGGUUCCACACAGGAAGAGACGCCCAGGUUCCACACAGGAAGAGGCGGUUCCCAGGUUCCACACAGGAAGAGGCGGUUCCCAGGUUCCACACAGGAAGAGGCGGGGCGAGGCUCCUCCCUGCUGCAAAGGUACAGGACCACACAACGAGGACAAAAUAAGACGUUUAAAUAUUCGAAAGAGCUGUCUCUACUAUAAUGUAGAUGAUACAUUUAUAAACCUGGAAAACUCACAAGAAUGGACUGUGAAGGUCAGAAAACACCAAGGGUUGCCGGCAAAAUCAGAAGCCAAGAGAAAGGCAUGGACCAGAUUCACCCCUAGGACCUUCAGAAAGACCAUGGGCUUCCAGUACCUUCACGUUGGACUCCAGCCUCCAGAACUGUGAGAAAAUACAUUCUUACUGUCUUCAGACGCGCAGUUUGCGGUCAUUUGUUACGGCAGUCUUAGCACACUAAUAAGGAUCUCAGUUCUUCCCAUGUUGGCUACAAGGUUAAUUCGAUCCUGAUCAAAGUCCUAAAAAGGUUUGUUUGGGUUUGAGGUUUUGUGCUUUGACUUGUUGUUCAGUUGGUUGGUUGGUUUUUUGUUUGGUUUAAGAUAGUGUUUUCUAUUUUUUUCCUCUUGUUUUUGCUUUUUUGGAAGGGUAAGAGACUUAAAUGUCAACGUAUCAGAAUGAAAACAGAGUUAGAUCCAGGAAAUUUCUGAAAAAGAGAAGUAACAGAGCAGGACCAGCACUCCCUUCCAGGGAGUGGCCCCGCUGCUGAGAGGGAGGGCCCGGGACAGAAGACGGAGUUCCAAAAUAGGCUAAGUAUAAACGGGGAUUUAGUACACAACGGGGGAGGAAUGUCAAAUCAGUGGGCAAA